rnacentral:rRNA from 1 species
AGGUGCUGCAUGGCUGUCGUCAGCUCUGGGGGGUCUGAGAUGUUGGGUUAAGUCCCGCAACGAGCGCAACCCUCGUCCUUAGUUGCCAUCAUUAAGUUGGGCACUUUAGGAAACUGCCGGUGAUAAGCCGGAGGAAGGUGGGGAUGACGUCAAGUCCUCAUGGCCCUUACAGGCUGGGCUACACACGUGCUACAAUGGCAUCUACAGCGGGCAGCUAUUCCGCAAGGAUGCGCUAAUCUCCAAAAGAUGUCUCAGUUCGGAUUGUCCUCUGCAACUCGAGGGCAUGAAGGCGGAAUCGCUAGUAAUCGCGGAUCAGCAUGCCGCGGUGAAUACGUUCUCGGGUUU